rfam:Oryza nivara chromosome 2, whole genome shotgun sequence.
AAUAAGUGCAGUUUUACAUUAUUCACGUUCAACGUUUGACCGUUUAUCUUAUUUGAAAAUCUUUUAUUAUUAAUAUUUUUAUUGCUAUUAGAUGAUAAAACAUAAAUAGUACUUUAUGUGUGACUAAAUAUUUUUAAAUUUUUCGUAAAUUUUUGAAAUAAGACAGAUGGUCAAACGUUGGGUACGGAUAUCGACGGCUACAAUUAUU